rnacentral:rRNA from 1 species
GACAGAGGGGGCAAGCGUUGCUCGGAAUCACUGGGCGUAAAGGGCGCGUAGGCGGGAUGGCAAGUCAGUCGUGAAAUCUCUCGGCUCAACCGAGAAACGUCGGCUGAUACUGCCGUUCUUGAGGGAUGCAGAGGAGACUGGAAUUCCCGGUGUAGCGGUGAAAUGUGUAGAGAUCGGGAGGAACACCGGUGGCGAAGGCGGGUCUCUGGGCAUCUCCUGACGCUGAGGCACGAAGGCGUGGGGAGCGAACGGG